rnacentral:rRNA from 1 species
GACGAACGCUGGCGGCGUGCUUAACACAUGCAAGUCGAACGCUGAAGCUCAGCUUGCUGGGUGGAUGAGUGGCGAACGGGUGAGUAACACGUGAGUAACCUGCCCUCUUCUUUGGGAUAACGCCCGGAAACGGGUGCUAAUACUGGAUAUUCACUGAUUCUCGCAUGGGGGUUGGUGGAAAGGUUUUUUCUGGUGGGGGAUGGGCUCGCGGCCUAUCAGCUUGUUGGUGGGGUGAUGGCCUACCAAGGCUUUGACGGGUAGCCGGCCUGAGAGGGUGACCGGUCACAUUGGGACUGAGAGACGGCCCAGACUCCUACGGGAGGCAGCAGUGGGGAAUAUUGCACAAUGGGCGAAAGCCUGAUGCAGCGACGCCGCGUGAGGGAUGGAGGCCUUCGGGGUGUAAACCUCUUUCGCUCAUGGUCAAGCCGCAGCUUUGGGUUGUGGUGAGGGUAGUGGGUAAAGAAGCGCCGGCUAACUACGUG